rfam:Ophiophagus hannah scaffold40353.1, whole genome shotgun sequence.
AUCUAGGUUUUAUUUAAAACCACUCAUUUUCCCAUUCUGGCAUUUU